UACGUAGGUGGCGAGCGUUGUCCGGAAUUACUGGGUGUAAAGCGCGUGUAGGCGGGAGGCCAAGUCUGCGGUGAAAUCGCUCGGCUCAACUGGGCGGGGUCCGUGGAAACUGGUCACCUGGAGGACGGUAGAGGCGAGUGGAAUUCCCGGUGUAGUGGUGAAAUGCGUAGAGAUCGGGAGGAACACCUGUGGCGAAGGCGGCCGACUGGGCCGACCCUGACGCUGAGGCGCGAAGGCGUGGGGAGCGAACGGG
rnacentral:rRNA from 1 species